GAGUUUGAUCCUGGCUCAGAUUGAACGCUGGCGGCAGGCCUAACACAUGCAAGUCGAGCGGAUGACGGGAGCUUGCUCCUUGAUUCAGCGGCGGACGGGUGAGUAAUGCCUAGGAAUCUGCCUGGUAGUGGGGGACAACGUUUCGAAAGGAACGCUAAUACCGCAUACGUCCUACGGGAGAAAGCAGGGGACCUUCGGGCCUUGCGCUAUCAGAUGAGCCUAGGUCGGAUUAGCUAGUUGGUGGGGUAAUGGCUCACCAAGGCGACGAUCCGUAACUGGUCUGAGAGGAUGAUCAGUCACACUGGAACUGAGACACGGUCCAGACUCCUACGGGAGGCAGCAGUGGGGAAUAUUGGACAAUGGGCGAAAGCCUGAUCCAGCCAUGCCGCGUGUGUGAAGAAGGUCUUCGGAUUGUAAAGCACUUUAAGUUGGGAGGAAGGGCAGUAAGUUAAUACCUUGCUGUUUUGACGUUACCGACAGAAUAAGCACCGGCUAUCAGGGGUGCCAGCAGCCGCGGUAAUACG
rnacentral:rRNA from 1 species